rnacentral:rRNA from 1 species
GCCAGACUCCUACGGGAGGCAGCAGUGGGGAAUAUUGCACAAUGGGGGAAACCCUGAUGCAGCGACGCCGCGUGAGCGAAGAAGCACCUCGGUAUGUAAAGCUCUAUCAGCAGGGAAGAAGAUGACGGUACCUGAGUAAGAAGCCCCGGCUAACUACGUGCCAGCAGCCGCGGUAAUACGUAGGGGGCAAGCGUUAUCCGGAUUUACUGGGUGUAAAGGGAGCGUAGACGGCCAGACAAGUCUGAAGUGAAAAUCCAGCGCUUAACGUUGGAAGUGCUUUGGAAACUGCCGGGCUAGAGUGCAGGAGGGGCAGGCGGAAUUCCUAGUGUAGCGGUGAAAUGCGUAGAUAUUAGGAGGAACACCAGUGGCGAAGGCGGCCUGCUGGACUGCAACUGACGUUGAGGCUCGAAGGCGUGGGGAGCAAACAGGAUUAGAUACCCGAGUA